GACGAACGCUGGCGGCGUGCUUAACACAUGCAAGUCGAACGGAAAGGCCCUGCUUUUGUGGGGUGCUCGAGUGGCGAACGGGUGAGUAACACGUGAGUAACCUGCCCUUGACUUUGGGAUAACUUCAGGAAACUGGGGCUAAUACCGGAUAGGAGCUCCUGCUGCAUGGUGGGGGUUGGAAAGUUUCGGCGGUUGGGGAUGGACUCGCGGCUUAUCAGCUUGUUGGUGGGGUAGUGGCUUACCAAGGCUUUGACGGGUAGCCGGCCUGAGAGGGUGACCGGCCACAUUGGGACUGAGAUACGGCCCAGACUCCUAGGGGAGGCAGGAGGGGGGAAUAUUGCACAAGGGGGGGAAGCCUGAUGCAGCAACGCCGGGGGGGGGAUGACGGCCUUGGGGUUGAAACCCGCUUUCGCCUGUGACGAAGCGUGAGUGACGGUAAUGGGUAAAGAAGCACCGGCUAACUACG
rnacentral:rRNA from 1 species